rnacentral:rRNA from 1 species
AUCUACGGCCAUACCACCCUGACCAAUCUCGUCUGAUCUCGGAAGCCACGCAGGGUCGGGCCUGGUUAGUACUCGGACGGGAGACCGCCUGGGAAUACCGGGUGCUGUAGGCU